rnacentral:lncRNA from 1 species
AACCCCAAGCACAUUUACAUCAGGUGCAAUCUUUUCUUUUAUUUCUUUCUUGUAUUGCAUUUUCUUUCCUCCUUCAUUAGAAAUAAUGGUAUUUAAGUUGGGAGAUAGAAAAAAUCUUCUAAAAUUUUUGAAAAAUAUUCUAUAAAAAAAAUUUGAAAAAUAUAUCUUUUAAAAAUUUUUUCUUUGAAAUUUUUGAAAACCUUUUUGAAAAAUCUUUUAAAUCUUUGAAUAAAACAAGUGUCAAGAAAGAGAAUCUUGAGUAAAAUAUAUUAGAAAAAAGAAU